UACAGAGGGUGCAAGCGUUAAUCGGAAUUACUGGGCGUAAAGGGCACGUAGGUGGUUUUCUAAGUCGUUUGUGAAAGCCUCGGGCUUAACCUGAGAAUGGCAGACGAUACUGGGGAGCUAGAGUACAGUAGAGGGGAGUGGAAUUUCCGGUGUAGCGGUGAAAUGCGUAGAGAUCGGAAGGAACACCAGUGGCGAAGGCGGCUUCCUGGACUGAUACUGACACUGAGGUGCGAAAGCGUGGGGAGCAAACAGG
rnacentral:rRNA from 1 species